AGUUAUUCGCGUAGGGUACAGAGGUAAGAUGUUCUAUCUUUCAGACCUUUUACUUCACGUAAUCGGAUUUAGCUGAAUAUUAGCUGCUCCGGUCAGACAAUGUCUGACCGGAGCAUUUUUUU
rfam:Morganella morganii subsp. morganii KT, complete genome.